rnacentral:rRNA from 1 species
CCUACGGGUCGCAGCAGUGGGGAAUAUUGGACAAUGGGCGAAAGCCUGAUCCAGCAAUGCCGCGUGUGUGAAGAAGGUCUUCGGAUUGUAAAGCACUUUCGACGGGGACGAUGAUGACGGUACCCGUAGAAGAAGCCCCGGCUAACUUCGUGCCAGCAGCCGCGGUAAUACGAAGGGGGUUAGCGUUGCUCGGAAUGACUGGGCGUAAAGGGCGCGUAGGCGGUUUAUGCAGUCAGAUGUGAAAUCCCCGGGCUUAACCUGGGAACUGCAUUUGAGACGCAUAGACUAGAGGUCGAGAGAGGGUUGUGGAAUUCCCAGUGUAGAGGUGAAAUUCGUAGAUAUUGGGAAGAACACCGGUGGCGAAGGCGGCAACCUGGCUCGGUACUGACGCUGAGGCGCGAAAGCGUGGGGAGCAAACAGGAUUAGAUACCCCAGUAGUC